CCAGCCUAGACGUCGUCCUCUUCCAUGUCCGCGUCCUCGGCUUUCUGCAGAGCGAUUCCCUUUCCCCGAAUCAGCUGGCCAGGCUAAACAAAAGAACCACAGGGCGCUCUUGCUUCCUGAUGGAAGCUGCCUCCUAGGCGUGCCUCUUGCCCUGCUUCUACUUUUCCCUCUUAUUUUAACAUCUUCCAGAGUCCGGAGAUCUGGAUUUGACCCACACGCCAUACACGAGCAGUGUCACCUUAAACUUCUUUAGCCUCCAUUUCCACCCCUGUAAGGGGAGACUGGUGGUGAGCUGCAUUUUUGGGUUGGUCUGUUGUACCCAUCAGAGGGAAGACUUCUUCUGGCUGGUAGACUGAAGACAGGAAAUGAGAAGGGGGUGAAAUAGGACGACUAGGUUAUUACAAGGAACAGAUGCAAAUUAAGAUCAACCAAAGAAGAGACACAUAGGGCAGAGCCCAGGAGACUUCCAAAUGUGGAGCUUCUGUUGUCCUCUCCCCACGGAGUCCAAACACAUUCCUCUCCCGGCAUCGACAUGUAACCAUACAUACAAGCAAGCAUAUAUCAAUCCCCUGGGACUGGCGGUAGAUUGGUGACCAAGAUUGAAAAGAAUAUGACCAUCUGAGAACUGAUAUACUCAUGAAGGAGAUAGACAGUAAACAAGUAAACAAAUACUAUACAAGACGAUGGCAGACGAUGAUAUCAGCUAUGAAAGAGAAAUGAGGUCAGUGAGUAAGUUUGGAGGAGGGCUACUUUGGGUAGUCAAAGUAGGUCACGUUUGGGGGGAGACUUGAGCAUGAGAAGGAGCCAGCUAUGUGAAGAGCCUAAAGGAAGAUUUUUCCCGGGAGAGAGAAAAGCAAAAGCUCUCAGAUAAGGGAGAGCCUGGCUUGCUAAAGGAACAGAAAAAAGGUGGCUAGUAUGUUGGGGCAGAUGAGCAAAGAGGAAAUGUUAUGGGGUAGGAAGGAGGUAAAUAAUCAUGUAGGACCCUGUAAGGAGACAGGGUGUUAUUCCAAAUGUGAUGGCCCCGGACAUGUACAGAGGGAAGAGCAUGUGAAGACACAGGGAAAAGAGGGCCAUCUACAAGCUUGGAACACAUCCUUCUCUCAUGGCCCUCAUAAGAAAUCGAAUCUCCUGACACCUUGAUCUCAGACUUCUAGCCUCCAUAAUUAAGAGAAAACAAAUUAAGCCACGCUGUUUGUCGUACUUUGUUAUAGCAGCUGUAGCAAACUGGUAUAGGAGCCAAGGACGACUCCUGAAUUUUUUAUUUGGAAAACUGAAAAGAGGGCAUUUCCGUUAACUAAGACAGUAAAGACAGUGGAAUGGCAGAUUCGGAGGAGGAACAUGGAGUGAUACUACCCUCCAGGCUGUAGAGCCACUGACAUGAACUUAUGCCUGUUUAAUAGACGAAGUUCGAAGAUGCUGAGUGAUAGGUCCGGUAUCACAAGGCUGUGAAAGACAGCAGCCAAGUCAAACCUACCUGUCCGACUUCAAAACCCGUGUCAUCCUUACAUCCCUCUGCCUUGUGUUAAAUAUUGGAAGAACUAUUUAUUCAGCUAGAUUGACACACCCUCAACCAAGCCCCACUGCUCAUCUCUUCCUUCUACCAUCUCACCUGCUAACUGAGAAAUUCACGUGGUUCCAGAAGGCAGAGCAAAUUCCUGCUAAUCUUACUACCACUGGUAAUAAUGUCAGCUCCCACUUUGGGAGAGCUUACUGUGCAUCGAGCACCGUGUUAAGCUUUAAGUACUUUUCCUACAUGGACUCAUCUAAGUCUCAGAAAAAUGCUAUGAAUUAAGUCAUGUUUUUAUUCCACUUUAUAGAUGAGGAAAUUACGCCUUAGGAAGGUAAAAUACCUUGUCCAAAGUGACAGAGCAGUUAAGCAGCUGGGUCAGAGCCCAGCCCAGGUCUAGUCUGACUCCGGAGCAGGAAUAGCCCACUGGACUGUGUGCUGGUGUUCAAAGGAUGUGAUUCAGUAGGAGAAGAGAUGAGGAAAUGGGGCAAGUGGAAGGCUCUGGAAUGUGGUCCUUGAUUUUUCUGUUCACUAAAAAAAAAAAGUUUAAAAAAGGAGAAAAGAUGGAGCUGCUGGCACUGAGCGUCAGCUGCCUCCCCCACAGCAGAUCACUUGCAGCCCGAAAUUGAGUUUCACCCACACAAAAGUAUGCUGUCUCAAUUUGGGUUGGGGUGGAGGGUGGGUCACCUUCUCUCUCUGCAGUGCAAAUGCAAAAUGAUUUUUUGCAUUGAAAAAUCAAAGUCCUGGUGCACCAGCCUUUGUCUUCCAACCCCCAUUGCAUUUCAUUUUCUUUGUUUUUAUUUCCUUUAAAGCUACGAAAAUUUUUGCAAAGUGGUUGCCAGCUUUUUGCAUCCACCGGUUAAAUUGCCCCCCACCAGCAAGGUCCCCAGCCUGGCUCUCUAGCAGGUGUAGCUUGCAGCUGUGGCAGAUUUUGCCCAGCAUGGGACAGAUGGAGGGGAUGCAGUCCUCACAGUGGGGCAGAUUUUUUUAAAAUACAUGAUCAGACCUUCAUCAAGGCCUGGUAGGGAAAUGUGGCAUUGAUGCAGCGUAUGCCAAGUUAGCAGGUGCCUGCUCGGCUGUAUUGUAUGAGCAAUAGUGGGAUUCCUUUUCUGGGGGAGGGGAGGUGGUUGGCAUCCCCAGCAGCUCAGGCAGAUCAUUUUGCAUCCGAGUUGUUUUGAAGUAACUGCAGUAGAUUUUCCUUGAAGAAGCAUUGUGGGGAAAACAGCACAGGAGCGUUAAUGAACUGGGGUGGAAGCCUGGCUUCGCCGAUUAUGAGUUGUGUGACAGCACAAGUCAUACAUUUUUUUGAGAUUCGCCUUUCUCAUCUUCAAAAUGAGGGUGUGGCAGAGUCUACUAGAGCUCCCCAAAGAUCCACAUGCCUCCCUACAUUUCCUAGUCCCCAUAGGUAGGCAGGGUCAUGUGACUAACCCUCCCUCCUGACAUGUAGGGGAAGGGAUGUGUCACUCUCUCCCCAGCCUGAGGCAGCUAAGCAGGCAAGCCGGAGGCCAUGUAUGGCCUAUGAUGGGGCUACAAGAUGUAGGAAGGCUGCCUGGCCCACGUCAGGCAUUACAUGGGUUUGCCUGUUGUGGCAGCUAAGACAAGAA